rnacentral:lncRNA from 1 species
GCUCAAAAACACACCGGAUUUACAUGUAUAACUAUAUAUAAAGGUAGACAAGAAGGAUCUUCUAAUGCAGUCUGGUUGGCGUUAGCAGAUUCAGCUCAUGUAGUGACAUCUCAGUUGUGACUAGUUCAGACAUUUUCAUUGAAGUGCACUAAUUUGGAUCCGUUUAGCAAAAAUGGCAUCCUUCUCAAGCCUUUGAAUAUUUACAUUCCAGGAAACUUCUUCCAUUGCCCAGUCGCCAGACUCAAUAAAUCUUUGUACAAGAUUUUAAGUAUGAACCUGGCUUCUACAAAGAUAGCAUCAAAAUUAUUUCUGAAAAAAUGAAUAUUCCGUAUUUCAUAUUUCAGAAGAAUAUCAAGUGCGUAUAGCAGUUCUUUGUUUCGAUGAGAUGGAAGUUAGAAGGACGUUUGAAAUUUCCUCUAAACUUAAGCAAAUAUUUGGACAAUGGUGAGAGGGCUUUUUCAUGCGUGGAAGCAAUCAAUAUAUGUGAAAUUUUACCAUAAUUCGACACACAUGAAAAAUAAAUUGUUGUUCUCCAUCAUUGAGAGGCUUGAACAAGCUGGAACUUUAAUCCUAGCCAUUGCAUAUUAUUUAGGUAACGAAUCAUUAAUCUCCCAGUUACAGCUCUUUCCUGACAACUUUUCAUUUGAAAAUCCUGUGGAUAAAAAACUCCAAAUUUAUGCCUUCCUGGACUGUCCUCAUUUGCUCAAAUCAUUUCGAAAUCAUUUAUUACAUCAUGGAUACAUUUUCAAUGAUUUUGAUGGUAAUUCUGCAAGUUUGACUAAAGAGGACUUCCAAGACCUUCUUGAACAAGAUUGUGAUGAGUUGGAGAUAAACUUCAAAGUGAAUAAAGAAUCUGAAUAAUUAUAUAACGUUAACUGGGAGCCUUACAGGUUAUUUAAUUGAGAGUAAAUCCUGAAGGGAUCAGUUGAGUUCUGUUUUAAAAGAGACUCCAUGUGAAGCUUUAUUUACAUAAUUAUAUAUUUUAUUAUUCUAUGUAAUCAUCUUGAAAUAUAUUGUUUGUUCAAGAGGAUUUUUAUUCAGAAUCCCAUCUAUAAAUUAAUGAAAAUGCAAGACAACUAGUUACAACUGUAGCGCAGCUUUUAUCUAACACAAUGUCCAAAACAUUUUUAUUCAUCUAUAUGCACAAUAAAUAUUAGUUAAUGAUUGGUUUGACUAUAAGAAUGCUAGUAAAAAACUUUCUUGUGGGUUUUGUAUACAUUUGGAAGAACAAAUGCAUUUUUAGAACGAAAUGAAGGGGUUAUUUUUGUCCAUCAAAGUGAUGGGGAAAAUUUUCGCCUUCCAUUUCGAAAGGAAAUUUUAAUCUCCAUUUGUUCAACAAAAUCAUUAUUUCAAAGUAUCAAGAAUGAUGGAAUGAAAUUCCUUUUAACCACUCAUCUAAAUCAAGAUUGUCUGGAAAAUAUAUUCUCACGGAUUUGUGCCAUCACAGGAAACAAUAAUCAUUCAUCCCCAGUGGAAGUCCUCAGAAGACUAAAAGUAAUUUUAAUUGAAAAAAAAAACAACAUGAACUUGUCAUAAGAAAUCCAGUUUUUGAAGAGGAGUUAAAUGAUGAGGAUGGAACAAAUUCUUAGAGAUGCAUAUUUUUUAAAUAGAUCUUUUUGAAAAUUAGACAUUAAAUAUUUUUUUAUAAUAUAAGCUAUGAUAUUCCUCA